GACGAACGCUGGCGGCGUGCUUAACACAUGCAAGUCGAACGGAAAGGCCCUGCUUUUGUGGGGUGCUCGAGUGGCGAACGGGUGAGUAACACGUGAGUAACCUGCCCUUGACUUUGGGAUAACUUCAGGAAACUGGGGCUAAUACCGGAUAGGAGCUCCUGCUGCAUGGUGGGGGUUGGAAAGUUUCGGCGGUUGGGGAUGGACUCGCGGCUUAUCAGCUUGUUGGUGGGGUAGUGGCUUACCAAGGCUUUGACGGGUAGCCGGCCUGAGAGGGUGACCGGCCACAUUGGGACUGAGAUACGGCCCAGACUCCUACGGGAGGCAGCAGUGGGGAAUAUUGCACAAUGGGCGGAAGCCUGAUACAGCAACGCCGCGUGCGGGAUGACGGCCUUCGGGUCGUAAACCGCUUUCGCCUGUGACGAAGCGUGAGUGACGGUAAUGGGUAAAGAAGCACCGGCUAACUACGU
rnacentral:rRNA from 1 species